CUCCACCCUCGCCACUGUCCCCUUCCGAUGUUCCGGCUGCCACAUGCACGGACAGCCUGGUGACAUGAGUCUGGGGCCAGCGGAGACACAGGGUCUUGCUAUGUAGUUCAAGGUGGCCUCGAACUCACAGGGAUCCUCCCGCCUCAGUCUCCAAGUGCUGGGAUUACAGACGGGCACCACUACAUCCGGCUCAGCCUCAAAAUAGGUACAGAAAUUUAAAAAUGCAAAGUUAAAAACCUAUAUACCACUCCCGGCUUGUCAUGUUUGUCCUGCUUAUAUUUUCUGAAAACUAAUAUGUGAGUGCUGAAUCUAAUAAUACUAAUACUAAUAAAACUGGGGCUUGUGUUU